UACGUAGGGAGCAAGCGUUGUCCGGAAUCAUUGGGCGUAAAGCGCGCGCAGGCGGUUCUUUAAGUCUGGUGUCUAAGUGCGGGGCUCAACCCCGUGAUGCACUGGAAACUGGGGAACUUGAGUGCAGAAGAGGAGAGCGGAAUUCCACGUGUAGCGGUGAAAUGCGUAGAGAUGUGGAGGAACACCAGUGGCGAAGGCGGCUCUCUGGGACUGUAACUGACGCUGAGGCGCGAAAAGCGUGGGGAGCAAACAG
rnacentral:rRNA from 1 species